GAUGAAGAACGCAGCGAAAUGCGAUACGUAAUGUGAAUUGCAGAAUUCAGUGAAUCAUCGAGUCUUUGAACGCACAUUGCGCCCCCUGGUAUUCCGGGGGGCAUGCCUGUCCGAGCGUCAUUGCUGCCCUCAAGCACGGCUUGUGUGUUGGGCCUCCGUCCUCCUCCCGGGGGACGUGCCCGAAAGGCAGCGGCGGCACCGCGUCCGGUCCUCGAGCGUAUGGGGCUUCGUCACCCGCUCUUGUAGGCCCGGCCGGCGCUUGCCGACACAUCAAUCUUUUUUCCAGGUUGACCUCGGAUCAGGUAGGGAUACCCGCUGAACUUAAGCAUAUCAAUAAGCGGAGGA
rnacentral:misc_RNA from 1 species